GACCCGGGUGUUUUCCCCA
rnacentral:misc_RNA from 1 species